rnacentral:lncRNA from 1 species
CACGUGUGUCUCCCAUCAUAGAAUUGCGGUAAACGUUAUCAGCGAUUUUAUUUAAGAGAUACAUGUAAAAGCGCUAAAAGACGUGUAACGUUUUGGCGUUAAAUAUUGGACACGAUUUGGCGAAUAACAAUUAUCGGACACGUUUGGGGGUUAUGAAAUCGGACACGUUUGGGAAAUAUUGUACAUUUCGGACACGUUUAGGGAGAAAAGACACGUUUGGGAGAAUCGGACACGUUUGGGGGGAAGGACACGUUUGGGAGUGUUACAUAUAUAUUAUAAU